rnacentral:piRNA from 1 species
UGGGUUNUCUGUAAUGGCCUUUUUCUUGGGC